rnacentral:rRNA from 1 species
AGCGUAGGCGGGAUGGUAAGUCAGAUGUGAAAACUAUGGGCUCAACCCAUAGACUGCAUUUGAAACUGCUGUUCUUGAGUGAAGUAGAGGUAAGCGGAAUUCCUAGUGUAGCGGUGAAAUGCGUAGAUAUUAGGAGGAACAUCGGUGGCGAAGGCGGCUUACUGGGCUUUUACUGACGCUGAGGCUCGAAAGCGUGGGGAGCAAACAGGAUUAGAUACCCCCGUA